rnacentral:rRNA from 1 species
UACGUAGGGUGCGAGCGUUGUCCGGAAUUAUUGGGCGUAAAGGGCUCGUAGGCGGUUUGUCACGUCGGGAGUGAAAACUCGGGCUUAACCCCGAGCCUGCUCCGAUACGGGCAGACUAGAGGUAUGCAGGGGAGAACGGAAUUCCUGGUGUAGCGGUGAAAUGCGCAGAUAUCAGGAAGACACCCGUGGCGAAGGCGGCUCUCUGGAACGCAACUGACGCUGAGACGCGAAAGCGUGGGGAGCAAACGG